UACGUAGGAUGCGAGCGUUGUCCGGAAUUAUUGGGCGUAAAGCGAACGUAGGCGGCCUGGUAAGUUUGGUCUUAAAGACCGGGGCUCAACCCCGGGAAUGGACCGAAUACUGUCAGGCUGGAGUACGCUAGAGGAUGGUGGAAUUCCAAGUGUAGCGGUGAAAUGCGUAGAUAUUUGGAGGAACACCGGUGGCGAAAGCGACCAUCUGGGGCGUUACUGACGCUGAGGUUCGAAAGCUCGGGGAGCAAACAGG
rnacentral:rRNA from 1 species